GGCCCUUUAGCUCAGUGGUUAGAGCAAUCGACUCAUAAUCGACAGGUCGCUGGUUCAAAUCCAGCAGGGGCCA
rnacentral:tRNA from 3 species